rnacentral:tRNA from 1 species
GCCGCGGUGGCGAAAUUGGCAGACGCGCAGGGUUUAGAACCCUGUGGAGUAAAAUCCUUGGGAGUUCGAUUCUCCCUCGCGGCACCA